UACGUAGGGAGCAAGCGUUGUUCGGAUUUACUGGGCGUAAAGGGCGCGUAGGCGGCGCGGUAAGUCACUUGUGAAAUCUCUGAGCUUAACUCAGAACGGCCAAGUGAUACUGCAGUGCUAGAGUGCAGAAGGGGCAAUCGGAAUUCUUGGUGUAGCGGUGAAAUGCGUAGAUAUCGGGAGGAACACCGGUGGCGAAGGCGGUUCUCUGGGCCUGUUCUGACGCUGAGGAGCGAAAGCGUGGGGAGCAAACAGG
rnacentral:rRNA from 1 species